GUGAAGCGAAAUGUCGGGGGACAAGCGAAACAUUCUCGAUAAUUAUCGCCGACAGCUUGCUGCCAAGUUCGAGUUGAAGCGGAAUCUUUUCAAAGCCAUCUGCAACGAUCCGAGUCUUCCCAAAGAUAUUCGUGAGGAGCAUCGUAAUAAGCUGUCGAAGUUGCCAAGAAAUAGUUCGUUCACUCGAUUGAGGAAUCGCUGCAUUUUCACCGGUCGACCUCGGGGUGUCUACCAGCUUUUCCGUAUGUCUCGUAUCGUUUUCCGUGAACUGGCGAAGAAAGGUCUUGUAAUGGGUGUCAAGAAAGCUUCUUGGUAGAUAUUGGUUCAGUAAUAAGGAGAGGGAUAUUUGCUAGUUCAAAUCUACAGAUCUGGAUUUCUCUAUAGUUUUUUCCCACCCUAGCACUAGAAUUUUAUAAGAAGAUUUCUCAACCUCGCCAAAGUGAGGUUGGCUCGAUGGUGGUAUUGGUAUGACCUCCAUUCCUCUAGGUCAGAGGUUCAAUCCUCUAACUCCUAGUUGUUGUAUUAAAAAAAAAGAUAUCUCACCCUCUUUAAUUUUUACUUUUCUUUGUUGUCAUUUGGGGUAUUUGGCUGAAGCCCAAUAAUAAUAUAAUGGUAUCGUUGGUUAAGAGGUCGUGUGGCUGAGGUUUGGGAGUUCGCUAGAUGUAUUGCCUCCCUUUGAGUGUGCAUCACUAGAUUGAUGGUAGAGACUUUUGUCGUUGUUGGGUUGUUAUAUUUCUACAAAGUUAUCUCUUUAAUCUCAGCGGGAAUUAACUAUAUGCUCUGAAAAAGGUGAUAUUACUUUUAAGUUCCUUGGACAUGAUUCAUGCCAAAGAAUAGUAAAGGCUUUACUUUUGCUAUUCAAUAAGUGUUUUAUCUUAGACAGUUACUAAUGGUGGUGUAUUUUUCUGAUAGUUACGAUUUUCUUUUCCCCUGCUUAUCUGCUACUUACCCUCUUUUUUACUGCGUUUUCAUUUGAAUUUUGGCCUAGUAAUCUAUAAACUUUUCACAUCACCUUGACCAUCCAUCAAGGAUUCGAUA